AGUGAACGCUGGCGGUAGGCCUAACACAUGCAAGUCGAACGGCAGCACAGUAAGAGCUUGCUCUUACGGGUGGCGAGUGGCGGACGGGUGAGGAAUACAUCGGAAUCUACUUUUUCGUGGGGGAUAACGUAGGGAAACUUACGCUAAUACCGCAUACGACCUACGGGUGAAAGCAGGGGAUCUUCGGACCUUGCGCGAUUGAAUGAGCCGAUGUCGGAUUAGCUAGUUGGCGGGGUAAAGGCCCACCAAGGCGACGAUCCGUAGCUGGUCUGAGAGGAUGAUCAGCCACACUGGAACUGGGACACGGUCCAGACUCCUAAGGGAGGCAGCAGUGGGGAAUAUUGGACAAUGGGCGCAAGCCUGAUCCAGGCAUACCGCGUGGGUGAAGAAGGCCUUCGAGUUGUAAAGCCCUUUUGUUGGGAAAGAAAAGCAGCAGGUUAAUACCCCGAUGUUCUGACGGUACCCAAAGAAUAAGCACCGGCUAACUUCGUG
rnacentral:rRNA from 1 species